rnacentral:tRNA from 1 species
UCUAUUAUGACAGAUUAAUGUGAUGGAUUUAAGAACCAUAAAUAAAGAUUUUUUAUCUUUUAAUAGAA